CCUGCAGAGAGGAUUCUUCCAAGUUAAUUGUUUUACAAACUAAGACAAUGAGGGCCUCUAUUUCCUUCUCACCCUCCUGAAUUAGGAAUGUAUUCACCUUCUGAGGAGAAAUAGUCCCCUCUAAAUUCUUGAUGGCUUUCACCCUCGUCAGAAGAACCAUAUUCUGAAUCAAAUCUGAUGUAGCCCUCUUAGAACUCUCAGAAGCUUCUUU